UACAGAGGUCUCAAGCGUUGUUCGGAUUCAUUGGGCGUAAAGGGUGCGUAGGCGGCGCGGUAAGUCGGGUGUGAAAUCUCGGAGCUUAACUCCGAAACUGCAUUCGAUACUGCCGUGCUUGAGGACUGGAGAGGAGACUGGAAUUUACGGUGUAGCGGUGAAAUGCGUAGAUAUCGUAAGGAAGACCAGUGGCGAAGGCGACUCUUUGGUCUGUAACUGACGCUGAGGCGCGAAAGCGUGGGGAGCAAACAGG
rnacentral:rRNA from 1 species